rnacentral:misc_RNA from 1 species
GCUUCCUUUAGAAUAAAUCAUUUGAAAUAAAAGAAUUCAAUUGAAUUUUCACAUUUUCUUUUAAUAGGAAUUUCUUUUUAAGUUAAAGAAUUGAAUUUUUUCAUUCCAAACAUGAGAGUCGAGCAGAAAGAAACUAAUUUGAAUUGAAUUUUUGCCAAAUUCUAGUUUCCAAGUAGGGGAAUUAGAACUUUGGAUAGAAUUUAAAUAUUGAAUAUUGCAACUAGGUCUCUAAGAUGUAAAUCACCAGAGUUUCGGAAAUACUCCAUUAGUAAAGCAAAUUAAUUUCUGAACUGGAAUAUUUUCUUUUCUUCACUGGGAGGUCCCAUUUUAAUCUAUUUGAUCCUCACCAGAAUUUUGGAACUAUUCCCAUUAGUGGAGCAAACUGAAUCCAUAAUGAAUUUUUUAAAAUAAUUGUUUGACACAAAUGAACUGGGUAAUCCCACCAAUGUAUGCUAUGGAUCUCUACAAAUUAGACUGUUUGAAUAAUGGUCACUGCCCUCAAGUUUUACUAUUAGUUCUUACUUAAAUUCACUAUCAAUUGUUCUCUUCACAGAAUGCAUGGUCUGGUGGAUACAUUGCCGGUACAAGCAU